UGGGGCAGGGGUGGGGAGAGGAGGGAGGACAGUGGGACAGCCCAGCUCUCCAGAACUGGCAGCCUUGUCCUCUUUCGGCAGCGCUACCCCUGAGGCACAGAGCCUGGAGCUGAGCCUCUCUGUCUGAUGUCAAGCUAAGUGCUGAAUCUAAACAGAUGGUGUUUGCUGUGAAAUUAAAUUAGAAUUAAGUCAGAAUUAAAUUAAAGAUUCAUAGUUCCAGGCAGGAAGAGCAAGCGGAAUUUGAAAACAGGGUUUUUAGCCUUUGCAAUGUGCUUCAUUCAACUUGUGCUGCCAGGCGGAGGGCCUCGUGGUUUCUAGAUAAGCCCUUGUUUCUGAGGGCAGAAUGAAUCCAGAAGCAUCCUCCUGGGGAGGAUGGGAAGGGAGUCAGCUAGAGGUGCUGUGCUGGGAACAAGGGCUCUUUGGAAGAGGCUGUCCACACAUUCCUGGGAGCAAUGAAGGGGCCAGGGUGCAAGUCAGAGCACUGCUUCCUAAAGGCUGCCUCCCUGAGCCCCAGGCACACCUGCCCGGCCUCUUUCAUAGGAUGGUGCGGAGGAGCCUGGGAGAUGAGGUCCCAGGUGGGGAGGAUGCUGGUGCUUUUUCACUCUUUUUGGAAAUGAAGGCAUGUCAAUCAUGAGAAACUGGUCUGCUGUGACUUGGAGAAUAGGAAGAUUAGUGGCAAGCAGCCUAAUCCCUCUCAGGCGAGGUAACUGGGAAGUGACCAUCAGCCAAGGAGCAGAACUGAUGCUUGAAGGAUGGAGUUGAGAAUCACAGAAGACACUCAGCUCACUGGAUUGUGAGCUUUAUCAGGGAUGGGACCUGGUCUGGCAUGACCAACAGAGAAUUCCAUCAUCUGGCACACAGUUUUUACGGGUGACAAGGCUACUAGGAGGAUUAGGUGAGUUAAU